UUUAUAGAUUCCUAAACAGAGUAGCAGAACAACACUAGGUGAGACUAUCACUAGAGGAUUGAAUGUGCAUAAACCAUCACAUGAACAGAUUGUUCAUUCAGAGCAAAUAACUCAACAACCUGUCCAACAAGAACAUCCACAAUCCUCAACAGCUUAUCAGCAAAAACCUAAAGCUCUUAGAAAGCAAAAAAAGCCAAUAUCUUCUUCAACUAAAUUGCUUAAGAGACAACAACAAGAUGCUCCAGAUCAGUCCUCCCAAUUCAAGAGAAAAUGUUGUGCAGAGAGAAAUCCAUCUAUUUCUUCACUGAUCAAGGGUUUGGCCAACUCAUAUAGGCCAGGACAAACCAAGAAAAAUGAUGAAAAUACUGAUGGAAUAUCA